CAGUCCUGUCAAUCCAUUCCUUUUUAGUUGAUAUCCAGAAAUCUGAAUUCUCUAGGCACUAGAGUCCUUGAGCUUCUUGAGUUCGGAGUUCAGAGUUCACUUCACCGAGUGAGGCCUCCCAUCUGGUAUUCGAAUCCACAGAGUCAGAGUUCUUUCAUUCUCGCCCUCAACUGAAAGGCAGAGAAGACAGCGAGAACACCCGUGUUACUUUAGGAGACCUGGAAAGUUGAUACAAUUUCUUAUUGUUCAAGAUGGGGUGAUGAUGUAAUGGAAAGGACAAAUGAGAUCAAGGUUUGUUUUCUUUUUUCCACCCCCAAGCUGUGUAAUGUUGAGCAAGUCACUUCCUCUCUCUGGGCUUCCUCCUGUGAGAAAGAAGGAAACUGAAACAAGUGCUUGUUGAAAGGCCUUCCAUCUCUAGCCAGGAUCCAAAAGGUAGAUGGCAUCACAGCAGCCUGCCGGUUCCGAGGCUGCAGCAGGCUGGCCUGUUGUCGUGGGUCCAUUUAGUUCUGACAGCAUCAUAUUUGCAGGACCGAUUCCGUCCAAAUAUGGUCAAUGAUGUAAUAGGGAGCAAUCGCCUUCAGACACUGGACAAGUCACUCAAGUAGCAACAGAUGGUCCAAGAAUAAUUGGAAAAGACACACUUUAUUGUGUUAUGAAGAUUUUGUAUAUAGAUUUUAACUGCAUGUGGAUAAAAGUUGAAAUAAAAAGAAUAUAUGCAAAGAAAGUCCACCUCAUGUCAGAUUUCUGGAUCCCACGUGGGCACCAUGGGACUGGACUUCACUGCAGCGUGGAAGGGUGUGUGGCUGGGUGGAGCCAGCUCAGCGGGCACUCGGCCAUGCGUAUCACAACACCCAACUCAGGACAUCUGCCUUGAAAUAAUCAGCAGUGACUGGUAGCCUUGCUAACUUGCAGUGAGGAAUCUUUCUUCCUUUGGAGAGAAGCGUGCCUCUGCCAUUGGGGAAGAAUCCUCAGCCCCAGCCCAGAGGAGGUGGAUUGGAACUGGACAGAUGGAACAACUGAGACCCAGAGGGUUUACAGACUUCCCGAAAGUUCUGCAGCUGCCGAGUGCAAAGUUAGGGAGAGCAGUGACAUGGAGGCAGCACUGAGACCCAAGUCUUAUUCCUUCUGGAGCAGAGAGAGCUCCCCACGACCCCACACUGCCAGGGAUGCAAACGGUUCAUCUUAAGGAAAUUUAUCCUGCAAGUAGCAAGUAUGGCCCAUGAAAUUUGUGACCUGGACAAUCAGCCAUUACAAGAGUGGAG